CCCAGCCCGUCUGCCUGUCCCGGAGCCCCUUCUCCCAACCCUCGUACCAGAGUCCAUCCGAGACCCGGUACGGGCUGUGGGGGAUGGGGAGUCGGGGGUAAGCCGCUUGAGCCGGA
rnacentral:pre_miRNA from 12 species